rnacentral:rRNA from 1 species
AGCAGCCGCGGUAAUUCCAGCUCCAAUAGCGUAUAUUAAAGUUGUUGCAGUUAAAAAGCUCGUAGUUGAAUUUCGGGAUCAGUACGCUGGUCGUGCCUUUGGUAUGUACUGGUGUCACUGAUUCCUCCCUUCUGAAGAACCGUUAUGCCAUUUAUUUGGUGUGGCGGGGAAUCAGGACUGUUACUUUGAAAAAAUUAGAGUGUUUAAAGCAGGCUCGCGCUUGAAUACAUUAGCAUGGAAUAAUGAAAUAGGACGUUUGAUCUUAUUUUGUUGGUUUCUAGGAUCGACGUAAUGAUUAAUAGGGAUAGUUGGGGGCAUUAGUAUUCAAUUGUCAGAGGUGAAAUUCUUGGAUUUAUUGAAGACUAACUACUGCGAAAGCAUUUGCCUAAGGAUGUUUUCAUUAAUCAAGAACGAAAGUUAGGGGAUCGAAGACGAUCAGAUACCGUCGUAGUCUUAACCAUAAACUAUGCCGACUAGGGAUCGGAUGAUGUAAUUUUUAAUGACUCAUUCGGCG